UACGUAGGGUGCAAGCGUUGUCCGGAAUUAUUGGGCGUAAAGAGCUCGUAGGCGGCUUGUCGCGUCGGCUGUGAAAACUCGGGGCUCAACCCCGAGCCUGCAGUCGAUACGGGCAGGCUAGAGUCCGGCAGGGGAGACUGGAAUUCCUGGUGUAGCGGUGAAAUGCGCAGAUAUCAGGAAGAACACCCGUGGCUAAGGCGGCUCUCUAGUACGGUACUGACGCUGAGACGCGAAAGCGUGGGGAGCGAACAGG
rnacentral:rRNA from 1 species